rnacentral:tRNA from 1 species
GCCUGGGUGGCUCAGUCGGUUAAGCGUCUGACUUUGGCUCAGGUCAUGAUCUCGCGGUUCGUGGGUUCGAGCCCCGCGUCAGGCU